AACGUAGGUGGCGAGCGUUAUCCGGAUUUACUGGGCGUAAAGCGUUUGCAGGCGGCUUAUCAAGUGGUGUCUGAAAUAUCCAGGCUCAACCUGGAGGGGUUAUGCCAGACUGGUAGGCUAGAGUGCGAGAGAGGGGCGUGGAAUUCCGGGUGUAGUGGUGAAAUGCGUAGAGAUCCGGAGGAACCCCAGAGGCGAAGGCGGCGCCCUGGCUCGACACUGACGCUCAGACACGACAGCAUGGGGAGCGAACGGG
rnacentral:rRNA from 1 species